rnacentral:lncRNA from 1 species
ACACUCUAGUCCCCACAAGAAUGUAUUAUUUAAUGAAACAUCUGGCCAGAGGACUUUGAGCUUUAUGCAAGACUCUCUGGUCUAUAGGAAUGCUCCAUCAAACCAAGAUACUGUAAUCGACAAAAAUAAAGACCCCUCCCCAGAGACCAUCUAUAAGAAGCCAGACCCCUGUCGAGAUUCUGGAGGUAAUAAUGCUACAGGAAAUGUACAACACCCAGGAGUCUGCAGGAAUGUAGGCCUUACCCAAGACUCUAGACCACAGAAGAGCCAGUGCCAUACGGAAGAUUCUGAUGUUAACAAAGGCCCAGGACUUACCAAGGAAUCUGGUCCCCAUAAAAACCUAGAUCUUGUUCAAACUUCUUGCCUCCAUAAGAGCUCUGGUCUCACACAAGACUCAGGAGACUACAAGAAUCUAGGCCUUCUCCAAGAUUCUGGAACCUGUAGAGCCUCAGAUCUUCUCCAAGACUCUGACUCCUACAAGAGCAGUAGUCUCAUCAAUACCACUGAACCUGAAAAAAGAUCAGACCUUAACCAAGAUGUCAGCAUUUACAGUUCAGAACAUAGCCAAAGCUCUAUCCCUCAGGAAUGCCCAGAAACGGAUCAAGAUCCCUGUCCUCAUCGGGACCCAGCACUCGGCCGGGGCUCCGGCUUCAAGCCUCCAGGCCUUACCCAGCAAGCUAGCCCCUGCA